GAUGAAGAACGUAGCGAAAUGCGAUAAGUAAUGUGAAUUGCAGAAUUCAGUGAAUAAUCGAAUCUUUGAACGCACAUUGCGCCCGCCAGUAUUCUGGCGGGCAUGCCUGUUCGAGCGUCAUUUCAACCAUCAAGCCCCAGGCUUGUGUUGGGGACCUGCGGCUGCCGCAGGCCCUGAAAACCAGUGGCGGGCUCGCUGUCACACCGGGCGUAGUAGAUUUUAUCUCGCUCAGGGCGUGCUGCGGGUUCCGGCCGUUAAAAAGCCUUUUUUACCCAAGGUUGACCUCGGAUCAGGUAGGAAGACCCGCUGAACUUAAGCAUAUCAAUAAGCGGAGGA
rnacentral:misc_RNA from 1 species